AUCCAAAAGAAUAUAGCAAAAGGUGCAGAGGCCAGAACUACAAAUAGUACAAAGAACUACUGGAAAGAAGCUCUUCUCCAACGUCUCGCCUCUUGUGCGGAUUGCUUCCUAUCCAAGAUCAUCAGACCUGGUGAGAGGUUAGAUUGUGCAGCUUUUGGCUGUCACAACGAACAAUGAGUUCAGGAAGAGACUGGGAAGUCUUCAAGCAAAGAAAAUGAACAUCUUUCUGGGAUUCUUGGACAGCUGCCAUCUCACACAUUAAACUCUGUUUUCCAAACCAAUUGUUCUGUUGUUUCGAGUGUAAAUAGACUUCAUCCUCUGCCUGGACUUUUCACAAAAUAAAAAUGCCAGCCUAAACA
rnacentral:lncRNA from 1 species